GACGAACGCUGGCGGCGUGCCUAAUACAUGCAAGUAGAACGCUGAAGAGAGGAGCUUGCUCUUCUUGGAUGAGUUGCGAACGGGUGAGUAACGCGUAGGUAACCUGCCUUGUAGCGGGGGAUAACUAUUGGAAACGAUAGCUAAUACCGCAUAACAAUGGAUGACCCAUGUCAUUUAUUUGAAAGGGGCAAAUGCUCCACUACAAGACGGACCUGCGUUGUAUUAGCUAGUAGGUGAGGUAACGGCUCACCUAGGCGACGAUACAUAGCCGACCUGAGAGGGUGAUCGGCCACACUGGGACUGAGACACGGCCCAGACUCCUACGGGAGGCAGCAGUAGGGAAUCUUCGGCAAUGGGGGCAACCCUGACCGAGCAACGCCGCGUGAGUGAAGAAGGUUUUCGGAUCGUAAAGCUCUGUUGUAAGUCAAGAACGAGUGUGAGAGUGGAAAGUUCACACUGUGACGGUAGCUUACCAGAAAGGGACGGCUAACUACGUGCCAGCAGCCGCGGUAAUACGUAGGUCCCGAGCGUUGUCCGGAUUUAUUGGGCGUAAAGCGAGCGCAGGCGGUUUGAUAAGUCUGAAGUUAAAGGCUGUGGCUCAACCAUAGUUCGCUUUGGAAACUGUCAAACUUGAGUGCAGAAGGGGAGAGUGGAAUUCCAUGUGUAGCGGUGAAAUGCGUAGAUAUAUGGAGGAACACCGGUGGCGAAAGCGGCUCUCUGGUCUGUAACUGACGCUGAGGCUCGAAAGCGUGGGGAGCGAACAGGAUUAGAUACCCUGGUAGUCCACGCCGUAAACGAUGAGUGCUAGGUGUUGGAUCCUUUCCGGGAUUCAGUGCCGCAGCUAACGCAUUAAGCACUCCGCCUGGGGAGUACGACCGCAAGGUUGAAACUCAAAGGAAUUGACGGGGGCCCGCACAAGCGGUGGAGCAUGUGGUUUAAUUCGAAGCAACGCGAAGAACCUUACCAGGUCUUGACAUCCCGAUGCUAUUUCUAGAGAUAGAAAGUUACUUCGGUACAUCGGUGACAGGUGGUGCAUGGUUGUCGUCAGCUCGUGUCGUGAGAUGUUGGGUUAAGUCCCGCAACGAGCGCAACCCCUAUUGUUAGUUGCCAUCAUUCAGUUGGGCACUCUAACGAGACUGCCGGUAAUAAACCGGAGGAAGGUGGGGAUGACGUCAAAUCAUCAUGCCCCUUAUGACCUGGGCUACACACGUGCUACAAUGGUUGGUACAACGAGUUGCGAGUCGGUGACGGCAAGCUAAUCUCUUAAAGCCAAUCUCAGUUCGGAUUGUAGGCUGCAACUCGCCUACAUGAAGUCGGAAUCGCUAGUAAUCGCGGAUCAGCACGCCGCGGUGAAUACGUUCCCGGGCCU
rnacentral:rRNA from 1 species